UGUUGUUACCUGCUCUGACUUAUCAUCCCUACACGAAUACUGUUUCAUGUCUUCUUUCACUGAAGACUGCUUUAGUUUCUCCAGAGACUGGUCAUGCUCCGGAAAUUGAGGGGUAGUAUCAUCUAGCAGGAAACCAUCCUCAUCAGGAGAGUACAAGUUACUCUUCCCCAAGUUUUUUAGCAUACGAGGCUCGUCAAAAUCUGUUGAAUCGUUGUCACCCAAGCAAUGAGUAAUAUUUUCCUUAAUCAAAAGAGGGAAAGGAGAAGCAUCAACAAACCUUUGCAAUCAACUCUUCUUUCUGCUUGAGC